GUCGUCAGCUCGUGUCGUGAGAUGUUGGGUUAAGUCCCGCAACGAGCGCAACCCUUAUGACUAGUUGCCAGCAUUUAGUUGGGCACUCUAGUGAGACUGUCGGUGACAAACCGGAGGAAGGUGGGGAUGACGUCAAAUCAGCAUGCCCCUGAUGACCUGGGCUACACACGUGCUACAAUGGUCGGGACAACGAGUAGCGCGCCCGCGAGGGUUAGCUAAUCUCUAAAAACCGAUCUCAGUUCGGAUUGCAGGCUGCAACUCGCCUGCAUGAAGCCGGAAUCGCUAGUAAUCGCGGAUCAGCAUGCCGCGGUGAAUACGUUCCCGGGA
rnacentral:rRNA from 1 species